rnacentral:rRNA from 1 species
ACUACGGGGUGCAGCAGUGAGGAAUAUUGGUCAAUGGGCGCGAGCCUGAACCAGCCAAGUAGCGUGAAGGAUGACUGCCCUACGGGUUGUAAACUUCUUUUAUAAAGGAAUAAAGUGAGGCACGUGUGCCUUUUUGUAUGUACUUUAUGAAUAAGGAUCGGCUAACUCCGUGCCAGCAGCCGCGGUAAUACGGAGGAUCCGAGCGUUAUCCGGAUUUAUUGGGUUUAAAGGGAGCGUAGAUGGGUUGUUAAGUCAGUUGUGAAAGGUUGCGGCUCAACCGUAAAAUUGCAAUUGAUACUGGCAGCCGUGAGUACAGUUGAGGUAGGCGGAAUUCGUGGUGUAGCGGUGAAAUGCUUAGAUAUCACGAAGAACUCCGAUUGCGAAGGCAGCUUACUAAACUGCCACUGACAUUGAGGCUCGAAAGUGUGGGUAUCAAACAGGAUGAGAUACCCUUGUAGUC